rnacentral:tRNA from 1 species
GGUCGAUUAGCUCAGUUGGUUAGAGCGCACGGUUCACAUCCGUGAGGUCGAAGGUUCGAGUCCUUCAUCGACCA